UUUGAAACACGGACCAAGGAGUCUAACAUGUGCGCAAGUCAUUGGGUAUUUAAAACCUAAAGGCGUAACAAAAGUAAAAAAAUCCUGUUGCUUUGUUAGGGAGGAUGGGUGUAUGUUAAGUAGUUUAAUUUAUUUAACUGCAUCCCGCACUCCCGGGGCGUCUGUUACUCAUUGCGAGUAAAGGCGCACCUAGAGCGUACACGUUGGGACCCGAAAGAUGGUGAACUAUGCUUGACCAGGAUGAAGCCAGGGGAAACCCUGGUGGAGGUCCGUAGCGAUUCUGACGUGCAAAUCGAUCGUCAGAGUUAAGUAUAGGGGCGAAAGACCUAUCGAACCAUCUAGUAGCUGGUUCCCUCCGAAGUUUCCCUCAGGAUAGCUGGUGUCAAUGAUGAGACGAGUCUCAUCCGGUAAAGCGAAUGAUUAGAGGCCUUGGGGCCGAAACGACCUCAACCUAUUCUCAAACUUUAAAUGGCUGAGAGCCUUGGCUUGCUUAAAAGUGAAGCCAGGGACUUGGAUCUAAGAUGCCAAGUGGGCCAAUUUUGGUAAGCAGAAACUGGCG
rnacentral:rRNA from 1 species